UGGGGAAUAUUGCGCAAUGGGGGAAACCCUGACGCAGCAACGCCGCGUGCGGGAUGAAGGCCUUCGGGUUGUAAACCGCUUUCAGCAGGGAAGACAUCGACGGUACCUGCAGAAGAAGCCCCGGCUAACUACGUGCCAGCAGCCGCGGUAAUACGUAGGGGGCGAGCGUUAUCCGGAUUCAUUGGGCGUAAAGCGCGCGCAGGCGGUUGCUCAAGCGGAACCUCUAAUCUCGGGGCUUAACCUCGAGCCGGGUUCCGAACUGGACGACUCGAGUGCGGUAGAGGCAGAUGGAAUUCCCGGUGUAGCGGUGGAAUGCGCAGAUAUCGGGAAGAACACCAACGGCGAAGGCAGUCUGCUGGGCCGUCACUGACGCUGAGGCGCGAAAGCGUGGGGAGCAAACAGG
rnacentral:rRNA from 1 species